GAUGAACGCUGGCGGCGUGCCUAAUACAUGCAAGUCGAGCGAAGCGGGGACGGGGGAGUAACACGUGGAUAACCUCCUAUAUGACUGGGGUAACUUCGGGAAACCGGAGCUUAACCGGCUUCUUUUCCCUGGAUCCGGGCUGCAUUAGCUAGUUGGUAAGGUAACGGCUUACCAAGGCCACGAUGCAUAGCCGACCUGAGAGGGGGAUCAGACACACUGGAACUGAGACACGGUCCAGACUCCUACGGGAGGCAGCAGUAGGGAAUCUUCCGCAAUGGGCGAAAGCCUGACGGAGCAAUGCCGCGUGAGUGAUGAAGGUCUUCGGGUCGUAAAACUCUGUUAGUAGGGAAGCGGUACUCAUUGAGAAAGCCACGGCUAACUACGUGCCAGCAGCCGCGGUAAUUC
rnacentral:rRNA from 1 species